rnacentral:tRNA from 1 species
GGGGCUGUAGCUCAGUGGUAGAGCACCCGCCUCCCAUGUGUGAGGCACUGGGUUGGAUCCUCAGCACCA